rnacentral:rRNA from 1 species
AUUGAACGCUGGCGGCAGGCUUAACACAUGCAAGUCGAGCGAGCGGCGGACGGGUGCGUAAUGUCUGGGAACCUGCCUGAUGGAGGCGGAUAACUACUGGAAACGGUCGCUACUACCGCAUACCAUCAGAUGUGCCCAGGUGGAAUAAGCAAGUAGGUGGGGUAAUGGCUCACCUAGGCGACGAUCCCUAGCUGGUCUGAGAGGAUGACGAGCAAACCGGGAACGAAGACACGGUCCAGACUCUAACGGGAGGCAGCAGUGGGGAAUAGUGCACAAUGGGCGCAAGCCUGAUGAGUCCAUGCCGGGUGUGUAAAGAAGGCCUUCGGGUUGUAAAGCACUUUCAGCGAGGAGGCGUUACUCGCAGAAGAAGCACCGGCUAACUCCGUGCCAGCAGCGGCGUAAUAC